rnacentral:rRNA from 1 species
UCCCAGCCGUAAACGAUGCAGGCUAGGUGUUGGAGCGGCCACGCGCCGCUUCAGUGCCACAGGGAAGCCGUUAAGCCUGCCGCCUGGGGAGUACGGCCGCAAGGUUGAAACUUAAAGGAAUUGGCGGGUGAGCACCACCAGGCGUGAAGCCUGCGGUUUAAUUGGAGUCAACACCGGGAAACUUACCGGGGGCGACAGCAGUGUGAAGGCCAGGUUGAAGGCCUUGCUGGACGAGCUGAGAGGAGGUGCAUGGCCGUCGUCAGUUCGUGCCGUGAGGUGUCCUGUUAAGUCAGGUAACGA